rnacentral:rRNA from 1 species
UCUCCUACGGGGCGCAGCAGUAGGGAAUCUUCCACAAUGGGCGAAAGCCUGAUGGAGCAACGCCGCGUGAGGGAUGAAGGUCUUCGGAUCGUAAACCUCUGUCAGCAGGGAAGAACGGUCACUGUGCUAAUCAGCAGUGAAUUGACGGUACCUGCAAAGGAAACACCGGCUAACUCCGUGCCAGCAGCCGCGGUAAUACGGAGGGUGCGAGCGUUAAUCGGAAUUACUGGGCGUAAAGCGCUCGUAGGCGGUAUGUCAAGUCAAGGGUGAAAUCCCCGCGCUCAACGUGGGAACUGCCUUUGAAA